ensembl:lncRNA
UCAGAAGUGAACUGCAUUUAAUAUAGUCUCUUAACUGGCACCAGUUUCAGAACCAGGGAUGCAGAAAUCUUGAGUAAGUGUGCUACUGGCAGUUAGUAGGCAUCUAGUAGGAUUGUGUUAUUUAGUUAUUCUUGACACUUGUUGAGAUGACAAUUUCUUGGUGCUUUUACUGAGUGGUGCAAGUACUUUCCCAGAACAUGCUUGGAGAUUGAUCCUACCCCAAGCCCCUGUUCACCUGGACAAACCUAGGAUGUAGUAGGGAAACAAUUAAUUGAAUGCAAUUUAUAAGCAUCUUUCUUUAUCCUGGAGAUAACUGACUUACACACUGAAAUAUCUGCAGAAUUUGAGGAAAGAGCACCAAACUUUGAAUCCCUGUGGAAGGACCCCUAUAGCUAUAAGCAAGGGAAUCUCAGCACAUAGCAUUGUGGCAUCCAUGGUUUUCUGAGGGUGAUUCCUAAGAAAUCACUGGAACCAGAAGAUCCUGAAAUGUGGAGUCAAAAUGGGACAAGGUGAAAAACUGUCAAUCAGUUAAUAAGAAGGUACUUAUGCACAACAGAUAAGCUGAAGAUCCACUGCAUUUACAAUAACUUGUUUGUCCAUUUCUAACCUACUGUCCAUCCAAAUGAAACAUUGAAUACAUCACAAACUCAAAAAACAACGUGACGUAGUGACACUGGCUCUCAGUCACAGGGUUUCUGACAGGAGCAAAACACGGGGUAUGGAUUGUAGUUGAGGUCUCAGCAGCUUCAUAUGUUUUAAAAGCCAGUUCUCAUACAAGUGGCUCAAAGGCUCAAGUACUUCAAACAAAGCAUUUAAAACUUACAUAUGGGCUGCAUCCUCAGAGUAAUAAUAACUGAUAAUUAGUUCCAAGGAAGCAAUUUAAACAAAUGCAUAGAAAAAGACUGUAUUUUUCAAAAAGCAUCACAUGUUAAUCGCUUCUUCCAAGGCUGAACAUUUUCA